rnacentral:tRNA from 1 species
CCUUUUGUAGCUCAAAAGCAGAGCACUCGCCUGAUAAGCGAGAGAACGUGGAGCGUUACCACGCGAAAGGACCA